rnacentral:rRNA from 1 species
GAUGAACGCUGGCGGCGUGCCUAAUACAUGCAAGUCGAGCGAACGGACGAGAAGCUUGCUUCUCUGAUGUUAGCGGCGGACGGGUGAGUAACCCGUGGAUAACCUACCUAUAAGACUGGGAUAACUUCGGGAAACCGGAGCUAAUACCGGAUAAUAUUUUGAACCGCAUGGUUCAACAGUGAAAGACGGUCUUGCUGUCACUUAUAGAUGGAUCCGCGCUGCAUUAGCUAGUUGGUAAGGUAACGGCUUACCAAGGCAACGAUGCAUAGCCGACCUGAGAGGGUGAUCGGCCACACUGGAACUGAGACACGGUCCAGACUCCUACGGGAGGCAGCAGUAGGGAAUCUUCCGCAAUGGGCGAAAGCCUGACGGAGCAACGCCGCGUGAGUGAUGAAGGUCUUCGGAUCGUAAAACUCUGUUAUUAGGGAAGAACAUAUGUGUAAGUAACUGUGCACAUCUUGACGGUACCUAAUCAGAAAGCCACGGCUAACUACGUG